rnacentral:rRNA from 1 species
UACGUAGGCAGCGAGCGUUGUUCGGAGUUACUGGGCGUAAAGAGUGCGUAGGCGGUGCUCCAAGUCUGGUGUGAAAUCUCCCGGCUUAACCGGGAGGGUGCGCCGGAAACUGGGGUGCUGGAGUGUGGGAGAGGUAAGCGGAAUUCCCGGUGUAGCGGUGAAAUGCGCAGAUAUCAGGAGGAACACCUAUGGCGAAGGCAGCUCGCUGGAACGUUACUGACGCUGAGACGCGAAAGCGUGGGGAGCAAACAGG